rnacentral:ribozyme from 1 species
UCUCUUUGCGUUGCCCGAAGAGGCCUGGGAGUACAUGUCUGAGUACAAUGGCUGCGCGUUCUGGAGACUCAAC